rnacentral:rRNA from 1 species
CGAUGGCGCCAACCGAGGGAACUGAAACAUCUUAGUACCUCGAGGAAAAGAAAACAAAACGUGAUUCCCCCAGUAGUGGCGAGCGACCGGGGAAGAGCCCAAACCGCAGGCGUAGCAAUGCGCCUUCGGGGUUGUAGGACCGCGAUAUCAUACGCAUAGGACGAGCGUGACGUUCUGGAAAGUUCGGCCGCAGCGGGUGACAGCCCCCUGCGCGAAGUCCGACGCGGUGUAGCGGUAUCCUGAGUAACGCGGGACACGAGGAAUCCUGCGCGAAUCCGCCGGGACCAUCCGGCAAGGCUAAAUACUCCCAUGAGACCGAUAGCGAACCAGUACCGUGAGGGAAAGGUGAAAAGAACCCCCAUGAGGGGAGUGAAAGAGACCCUGAAACCAUGCGCCUACAAGCGGUCGGAGCAUCUUUAUGAUGUGACGGCGUGCCUUUUGCAUAAUGAACCUACGAGUUGCCGUCUCCGGCGGGCCAAGGCACUCAGUGCCCGUGCCAUAGUGAAAGCGAGCCUGAACAGGGCGUUGGUCGGAGGUGGCAGACGCGAAACCAAGUGAUCUACACAUGUCCAGGAUGAAGUCCCGGUAACACGGGAUGGAGGUCCGCACCAAUAAGCGUUGAAAAGCUUCUGGAUGAGGUGUGUGUAGGAGUGAAAGGCCAAUCAAACUUGGAGAUAGCUCGUACUCCCCGAAAGGCAUUUAGGUGCCGCGUCGGACGUUCAGCGCUGGAGGUAGAGCGACCGAUAGGUCGAGAGGGCUUCGCCGCCUAUCGAGACCUGACGAACUCCGAAUGCCAGCGCUCCGCAGUCCGGCAGUAAGGGGGCGGGUGCUAAGGUCCGUCCCCGAGAGGAGAAGAAUCCAGACCGCCGUCUAAGGUCCCGGAAUUCUGCCUGAGUUAGUCUAACGAAGUCUGGUCCCCGUGACAGCCAGGAUGUUGGCUUGGAAGCAGCCAUUCAUUCAAAGAGUGCGUAACAGCUCACUGGUCGAGGGUCCGGGCGUGGAUAAUAAUCGGGUAUAAGGCAGAUACCGAAGGCGCGGGAUAGCAUUUAAGAAAGUAUCGGUAGGGGAGCAUUCCAUAUGCGUAGAAUACGUCAGGUGACUGUAGUUGGAGCGUAUGGAAAAGCAAAUGUAGGUAUAAGUAACGAUUAGGAGGGCGAGAACCCCUCCCGCCGUAAGUCCAAGGUUUCCCGGGCAAUGUCAUUCAUCCCGGGGUCAGUCGGGUCCUAAGCCUCAGCCGAGCGGCGAAGGCGAUGGCAGAAACGGUCAACAUUCCGUUACUGCCGGCAGGAGCGACGUGGAGACGGAGCAGUGGAACCUCCGCGCACAGACGGAAUAGUGCGUUGAAGGGUGUAGGUUAUGAUAGAGGCAGGCAAAUCCGCCUUUAGAGCCGAACCUGAGAGUACGGAGCGUCCCUCGGGACAAUCCGAUAGCGAGGGUAAUCAUACUCCCGAGAAAAUCCGCUAAGCAUAUCCUGUCGGCACCCGUACCGCAAACCGACACAGGUAGACGGGUAGAACAUACUAAGGCGUUGAGAGAUUCAUGGUUAAGGAACUAGGCAAACUGACCCCGUAACUUCGGGAGAAGGGGUCCUCCAGUGAUGGAGGCGCAGAGAAUAGGUCCAGGCAACUGUUUAACAAAAACACAGGGCUGUGCAAACUCGAAAGAUGACGUAUACAGCCUGACACCUGCCCGGUGCCGGAAGGUUAAGAGGAGAUGUCACCGCAAGGGAAGCAUUGAAUUGAAGCCCCGGUAAACGGCGGCCGUAACUAUAACGGUCCUAAGGUAGCGAAAUUCCUUGUCGGGUAAGUUCCGACCUGCACGAAUGGUGUAAUGAUCCGGACGCUGUCUCAACCAUGAUCUCAGUGAAAUUGUAGUAUCGGUGAAGAUGCCGAUUACCCGCGAUGGGACGAAAAGACCCCGUGAACCUUUACUACAGCUUAGCAUUGACCUUGGUCAUCCGAUGUGUAGGAUAGGCCGGAGGCUUAGAAGGGCGCACGCCAGUGUGUCUGGAGCCGCCGUUGAAAUACGGCCCUUUGGCUGUCUGAGGUCUAACUCCUUGUUAGGAGGACACUGCUUGGUGGGUAGUUUGACUGGGGUGGUCGCCUCCAAAAGCGUAACGGAGGCUUCCAAAGGUGCCCUCCGGCCGAUUGGUAACCGGCCUUUAAGAGUGCAAUGGCAUAAGGGCGCUUGACUGGGAGGCAGACAUGCCGAGCAGGCAGGAAACUGGGGCAUAGUGAUCCGGUGCAAGUGUAUGGAAACUGCAUCGCUCAAAGGAUAAAAGGUACUCCGGGGAUAACAGGCUGAUCCCCCCCAAGAGCUCACAUCGACGGGGUGGUUUGGCACCUCGAUGUCGGCUCGUCACAUCCUGGGGCUGGAGAAGGUCCCAAGGGUUGGGCUGUUCGCCCAUUAAAGUGGCACGCGAGCUGGGUUCAGAACGUCGUGAGACAGUUCGGUCUCUAUCUAUCGUGGGCGUUGGAGUUUUGCGUGGUUCUGACACUAGUACGAGAGGACCGUGUUGGACAGACCUCCGGUUUACCAGUUGUGCCGCCAGGUGCACCGCUGGGUAUCUGAGUCUGGAUUGGAUAAGCGCUGAACGCAUCUAAGUGCGAAGCCAGCCGCAAGAUUAGAACUCCUCA